rnacentral:lncRNA from 1 species
CAUGUUAAGAACCAAUUCAUUGCAAUUUUCUUUUUUUUAGUAGGACAUAAGUUGAAUUUUUUCAAAGGCUUUUUAAGCAUCUGUGGAGGUAACCGUGUGAUUUUUUUUCUUACUCCUAUUAGUAUUGUGCACUCUAAUAGUAGGUUUCCUAACAGAAUGCUAACAGGUUCUUGCAUUCUUCGUAUAAAUAUCAAGUCAUGGUGUGGCGUUUUUUUUGAAUGUUGCUUGGGAAUCUAUAAAUAAUUUAAAAAUUCAAAAAAAUAAUAAUAACUGACUGUAUAUGUCAAAAUAGAAUAGAACAAGUGUAAUGUUUCCAGUGCAAAGAAAUGAUUAA